rnacentral:rRNA from 1 species
ACCCGUUGAUCCUGCGGGAGAUUGCUGCUAUUGGGAUUCGACUAAGCCAUGCAAGUCCAGGGGACUCUUCGGAGUCACCGGCAUCAUGCUCAGUAACACGUCGAUAAUCUGCCCUAUGGUUCGGGAUACCCUUGGGAAACUGAGGUUAACACCGGAUAUGGGAAAUGGUCUGGAAUGACCUUUCUUUGAAAAGUAAUGCCAUAGGAUGAGUCGGCGGUGGAUUAGGUAGUUGGUGGGGUAAUGGCCCACCAAGCCGAAGAUCCAUAGGGGCCUUGAGAGAGGGAGCCCCGAGAAGGACACUGAAACACUGGUCCUAGCCCUACGGGGUGCAGCAGGCGCGGAACCUCUACAAUGCAGGAAACUGUGAUAGGGGAAUCCCAAGUGCCUAUACUAUGUAUAGGCUUUUGCCAAGGGUAAAAACCUUGGAGAAUAAGUGGUGGGAAAGACUGGUGCCAGCAGCCGCGGUAACCCCAGCGCCACAAGUGGCAAUCACUUUUAUUGGGCCUAAAGCGUCUGUAGCCGGUUCAGUAAAUCUUUUGUGAAAUCGUACGGCCUAACCGAACGGCGUGCAGAAGACACUGCUGAACUUGGAACCGGGAGGAGUCAGAAGUAUGUCGGGGGGAGCGGUAAAAUGCUAUAAUCCUCGAUGGACUACCUGUGGCGAAGGCGUCUGACUAGAACGGAUUUGACGGUGAGGGACGAAAGCUAGGGGAGCGAACCGGAUUAGAUACCCGAGUAGUCCUAGCUGUAAACGCUGCGAGCUAGGUGUUGCACAUUCUCCGAGAAUGUGCAGUGUCGAAGCGAAGGUGAUAAGCUCGCCGCCUGGGAAGUACGGUCGCAAGACUGAAACUUAAAGGAAUUGGCGGGGGAGCACUACAAGGGGUGCGGCGUGCGGUUUAAUCUAAUUCAACGCAGAGAAUCUCACCAGGGGCGACGGCAGGAUGAAAGACAGUCUAAAGGGCUUUCUUGACGAGCCGAGAGGUAGUGCAUGGCCGCCGCCAGCUCGUGCCGUGAGGUGUCCUGUUAAGUCAGGCAACGAGCAAGACCUGUACUUACAAUUGCUAGCAACGCUUAUGCGGAUUGAGCACAUUGUGAGGACUGCCCUGGAAACAGGGAGGAAGGUGCAGGCAACGGUAGGUCUGUAUGCUCCGAAUCUCCUGGGCAACACGCGCGCAACAAUGGUAGGGACAAUGGGAUGCAACUCCGAAAGGAGGAGCUAAACCUCUAAUCCCUAUCUUAGUCCAGAUCGAGGGUUGCAACUCACCCUCGUGACGCUGGAAUCCCUAGUAAUUGGACGUCAACAUCGUCCAGUGAAUUUGUCCCUGCUCCUUGCACACACCGCCCGUCAAACCACUCGAGCAGGGUCUAGGUGAGUCGUAGUUUAAUUGAUUACGCCGAACCUAGGCUCAGUGAGAUGGGUUAAGUCGUCACAAGGUA